CCCGACACUGGGAGGAUUGACGGGUUGAAAGCUCCUUCUUGAUUCGGUGGAAGACCGAUGCAUAUGGCCGUUCUUGGUUGAUGGAGCGAUUUGUCCUGUUAAUACCGAUAACGAACGAUUUUUUUUUCUAUGUGCCUGGAACAAACUUUACCUGAAAGCAGAAGAAAAAGGGAUAAAAAAAUUUGGCGCAACGUUUCCGUUGCGAGACACGCUUUGAGUUAGGAGCGGUUCCACAACAAGCCUCUAUUUUCAGAUG
rnacentral:rRNA from 1 species